rnacentral:tRNA from 1 species
GCGGGGGUUCCAGAGCGGUCAAAUGGGCAGGCCUCAAGAGCCUGUGACUUAGUGUCUUCAGGGGUUCGAAUCCCUUCCCCCGCA